rnacentral:lncRNA from 1 species
CUUUUUAAUCUUCCUGGUAAGUAUAUAGAUGUCUAUUAUGUUUAUUUUUUGAAUUGAGGUAUAAUUUGCAUACCAUAAAAUCUACCCAUUAAAGCGUACAAGUGAGUAGUUUUUGGUAUUAAUAUAUUUACAGAGUUAUGUAAGUAUUAUCACUAAUUUUGGAACAUUCUUUAUAGCCUGAAAAUAAUCCCAUGUACAUUAUCAGUCACUCUCCAUUCUUUCCUUCCCUGAGAAAUGGGAAUGAAAAUGCCAGAGUGUUUUCCAAAUUGGCUGCAUCAUUUUGCAUUCCUGCCAGCAAUUUAUGAGUGUUAACAAUUUUGCAUGUCUUCACCAGCACUUGUUUCAGUGUUAUUUUGAUUGGCGUUUAUUUCCCUGAUGACUGAUGAUGUUGAAAAGCUUUUCAUGUGCUUACUGGCCAUUUGCAUAUAUUUUCUGGGGAAAUGUAUAUUCAAAUCAUUUUCCCAUUUUUUAAGUGAGUCAUGUUUUUAUUGUUCUAGGAAUUCUUUUUUAUAUUCUGGAUGCUAGUUCCUUAUUAGAUUUGCCAAAUUUUCCCCUUGUUCUGUGGGUUGACUUUACUUUUUUGAUCCUGUCCUUGCAAGCACAAAAGUUUUUAAUUUUAAGCCCAAUUUAUUUAUUUUUUCUUUCGUUGCUUAUACUUUUGGUAUCAUAUCUAGGAAACCACUGCCUAAUCCAAGGUCACAUUUUCAUAUUUUUCA